rnacentral:rRNA from 1 species
GAUGAACGCUAGCGGCAGGCCUAAUACAUGCAAGUCGAACGAUAUUACCCAGCUUGCUGGGUAUGAAAGUGGCGCACGGGUGCGUAACGCGUAUGCAACCUACCUUAUUCAGGGGGAUAGCCCGAAGAAAUUCGGAUUAACACCGCAUAAAAUCACAGUUCAGCAUUGGACAAUGAUCAAAUAUUUAUAGGAAUAAGAUGGGCAUGCGUGUCAUUAGCUAGUUGGCGGGGUAACGGCCCACCAAGGCGACGAUGACUAGGGGAUCUGAGAGGAUGACCCCCCACACUGGUACUGAGACACGGACCAGACUCCUACGGGAGGCAGCAGUAAGGAAUAUUGGUCAAUGGAGGCAACUCUGAGCCAGCUAUGCCGCGUGCAGGAAGACGGCCCUCUGGGUUGUAAACUGCUUUUAUUCGGGAAUAAACCUAUUUACGUGUAAAUAGCUGAAUGUACCGAGGGAAUAAGGAUCGGCUAACUCCGUGCCAGCCGCCGCAGUAA